ACUCCGGGCAUCCUUAGUACGGCGAGUGAAGCGCCUCAGCUCAAUUUGACUAUGGACCUUCGGUGCCCGAGUUGUAAUUUGGAGAUGGCAACUUUGGGGCCGUUCCUUGUCUAUGUUCCUUGGAACAGGACGUCAUACAGGGUGAUUUCCCGUGUGGCCCGGAGUGCGGCUUUUCGUAAAGUGAUUUCUAAGAGUCGAGUUGUUUGGGAAUGCAGCUCUAAGUGGGUGGUAAAUUCCAUCUAAAGCUAAAUAUUGGCGAGAGACCGAUAGCGAACAAGUACAGUGAUGGAAAGAUGAAAAGAACUUUGAAAAGAGAGUGAAAAAGUACGUGAAAUUGUUGAAAGGGAAGGGCAUUUGAUCAGACAUGGUGUUUUGUGCCCUCUGCUCCUUGUGGGUAGGGGAAUCUCGCAUUUCACUGGGCCAGCAUCAGUUUUGGUGGCAGGAUAAAUCCAUAGGAAUGUAGCUUGCCUCGGUAAGUAUUAUAGCCUGUGGGAAUACUGCCAGCUGGGACUGAGGACUGCGACGUAAGUCAAGGAUGCUGGCAUAAUGGUUAUAUGCCGCCCGUCUGAA
rnacentral:rRNA from 1 species